rnacentral:lncRNA from 1 species
UAGGGGAUUGACCCAGAUCUGCUAGAGUAUUAUCAGAGUAGAGCUGAUGUUUUCUUGAUGGACCUGAGUUCUUCCCUCCUCGGGAGAAUUGGUGCAGACACCAUCACUAGUGAUGACUUAUCGGAGCCAACUUAGACAUAUGGAUGACAUCAGAGUAUCAGAUCGACAUCUAUUUGCUUAAUUAAUUAAAUUAGAUCUUGAUUUAGUUCUUUAUUUCUUAUAUUUUGAGUUUUAGUUAUGUGGUCUUGUAAA